GCUCUCAUAGCUCAGUUGGCUAGAACACCCGAUUAGUAAGCGGGAGGUCUGGAAUUCAAUUCUCAAUGAAGACA
rnacentral:tRNA from 1 species